UCAGUAUUGUUAAAUAUUGAAUCGGAAUUACUGGGCGUAAAGCGUGCGCAGGCGGUUUUGUAAGACAGUGGUGAAAUCCCCGGGCUCAACCUGGGAACUGCCAUUGUGACUGCAAGGCUAGAGUGCGGCAGAGGGGGAUGGAAUUCCGCGUGUAGCAGUGAAAUGCGUAGAUAUGCGGAGGAACACCGAUGGCGAAGGCAAUCCCCUGGGCCUGCACUGACGCUCAUGCACGAAAGCGUGGGGAGCAAACAGGAUGAGAAACCCGGGUAGUCC
rnacentral:rRNA from 1 species